rnacentral:rRNA from 1 species
UUCCGGUUGAUCCCGCCGGCGGCCACCGCUAUUGGAAUUCGAUUAAGACAUGCGAGUCUUAAGGACUUCGGUCCUUGGCAUACGGCUCAGUAACACGUGGACAAUCUGCCCUAAGGAGGGGGAUAAUUUCGGGAAACUGAAAACAAUACCCCAUAGAUCAUGAAUGCUGGAAUGCUUCAUGAUUCAAAGCUACGGCGCCUUAGGAUGAGUCUGCGGCCUAUCAGGUUGUAGUGGGUGUAGUGGACCCACUAGCCACUGACGGGUACGGGCGUUGGGAGACGUCGCCCGGAGAUGGAUUCUGAGACACGAAUCCAGGCCCUACGGGGCGCAGCAGUUACGAAAACUUGACAAUGCGGGAAACCGCGAUCAGGGAAUUCCAAGUGCAUGCACAAUGUGUAUGCUGUUCCAUUGUCUUAAAAACAUAGGAAGUAAGGGCUGGGUAAGACAGGUGCCAGCCGCCGCGGUAAUACCUGCAGCCCGAGUGGUGGUCGAUAUUAUUGAGCCUAAAGCGUCCGUAGCCGGACUAGUAAAUUCUUGGGUAAAUCGGGCAGCUUAACUGUCCGACUUCCGAGGAGACUGCUAGUCUUGGGACUGGGAGAGGUCAGAGGUACUCCAGGAGUAGGGGCUAAAUCCUGUAAUCCUUGGGGGACCACCAGUGGCGAAGGCGUCUGACUAGAACGGAUCCGACGGUAAGGGACGAAACCCUGGGGCGCAAACCGGAUUAGAUACCCGGGUAGUCCAGGGCGUAAACGCUGCAGGCUUGGUGUUGAGGAUCCUACGAGGAUGCUCAGUGCCGGAGUGAAGAUGUUAAGCCUGCCGCUUGGGGAGUACGUCCGCAAGGAUGAAACUUAAAGGAAUUGGCGGGAGAGCACAGCAACGGGAGGAGCGUGCGGUUCAAUUGGAUUCAACGC